ensembl:ncRNA F09F9.10 ncRNA
CACCCGUAGUGACGGAAGAUUUUUACACUUUCCAUCACUUUUUUGCGCUAAAGAAUGAAGGAUCCCGGUGAUGUAGUGAUACGUCCGGGAAAAUGAUGACAGAGAGAAAGUGCAAGUGUCAAGACAAUUGCUAGACGGAAACUUGAUAUGUCAUAGCUAGCUUUGUUAUGCUUG